AAGAAGUUCAGCUGGUGAUUAGACCACAAUGUUUGAGUCAUCAAGGGCACAGUGCAAUCUAUAGAUAUUGUUUGUACGUUCCCUUACAAGAUCCAAUGAAAGACAUUUUUCUAGUUGUGAUGAUCUAUAUCACUGAAGCCUUCUUGUUUUACAGGAUCAGUUUAUUGUUUCUUUAAACAACAUUGAUGCAUAAGUUUCUUUUUUUU
rnacentral:misc_RNA from 1 species